rnacentral:miRNA from 1 species
GAGGUGGGAGGAUCGCUUGAGCCCAGGAGGUCGAGGCUGCAGUGAGCUGUGAUUGUACCACUGCACUCCAGCCUGAGUGACAGAGCAAGACCCUGUCUCA